GCCUGGGUGGCCGAGCGGUUCUAGGCGCGACAGUCUGGAACGCUGCGGUCGCAGGUUCGAAUCCUGCCUCAGGCA
rnacentral:tRNA from 1 species